AGUCGAGCGGAACGAUGGUAGCUUGCUACCAGGCGUCGAGCGGCGGACGGGUGAGUAAUGCUUAGGAAUCUGCCCAGUAGUGGGGGAUAGCCCGGGGAAACCCGGAUUAAUACCGCAUACGCCCUUUUGGGGAAAGCAGGGGAUCUUCGGACCUUGCGCUAUUGGAUGAGCCUAAGUCGGAUUAGCUAGUUGGUGGGGUAAAGGCUCACCAAGGCGACGAUCCGUAGCUGGUCUGAGAGGAUGAUCAGCCACAUCGGGACUGAGACACGGCCCGAACUCCUACGGGAGGCAGCAGUGGGGAAUAUUGGACAAUGGGGGCAACCCUGAUCCAGCCAUGCCGCGUGUGUGAAGAAGGCUUUCGGGUUGUAAAGCACUUUCAGUGAGGAGGAAGGCCUUAAGAUUAAUACUCUUAAGGAUUGACGUCACUCACAGAAGAAGCACCGGCUAACUCCGUGCCAGCAGCCGCGGUAAUACGGAGGGUGCAAGCGUUAAUCGGAAUUACUGGGCGUAAAGCGCGCGUAGGUGGUUGAGUAAGCGAGAUGUGAAAGCCCCGGGCUUAACCUGGGAACGGCAUUUCGAACUGCUCGACUAGAGUGUGGUAGAGGGGAG
rnacentral:rRNA from 1 species